rnacentral:rRNA from 1 species
UAGGGAAUAUUGCACAAUGGGCGAAAGCCUGAUGCAGCAACGCCGCGUGCGGGAAGAAGGCCCUAGGGUUGUAAACCGCUUUCAGCAGGGAAGAAAAUGACGGUACCUGCAGAAGAAGGUGCGGCCAACUACGUGCCAGCAGCCGCGGUGACACGUAGGCACCAAGCGUUGUCCGGAUUUAUUGGGCGUAAAGAGCUCGUAGGCGGUUCAGUAAGUCGGGUGUGAAAACUCUGGGCUCAACCCAGAGACGCCACUCGAUACUGCUGUGACUCGAGUGCGGUAGGGGAGCGGGGAAUUCCUAGUGUAGCGGUGAAAUGCGCAGAUAUUAGGAGGAACACCAGUGGCGAAGGCGCCGCUCUGGGCCGUAACUGACGCUGAGGAGCGAAAGCGUGGGUAGCAAACAGG